UAGGGAAUCUUCGGCAAUGGACGGAAGUCUGACCGAGCAACGCCGCGUGAGUGAUGAAGGUCUUCGGAUCGUAAAGCUCUGUUGCCAGGGAAGAAGGGCAAGGAGAGUGACUGCUCUUUGCUUGACGGUACCUGAGAAGAAAGCCCCGGCUAACUACGUGCCAGCAGCCGCGGUAAUACGUAGGGGGCGAGCGUUGUCCGGAAUUAUUGGGCGUAAAGCGCGCGCAGGCGGUUCUUUAAGUCCGGUGUUUAAGCCCGGGGCUCAACCUCGGGACGCACGGGAAACUGGGGGACUGGAGUGCAGGAGAGGGAAGCGGAAUUCCACGUGUAGCGGUGAAAUGCGUAGAGAUGUGGAGGAACACCAGUGGCGAAGGCGGCUUCCUGGCCUGUAACUGACGCUGAGGCGCGAAAGCGUGGGGAGCAAACAGG
rnacentral:rRNA from 2 species